rnacentral:rRNA from 1 species
CCUACGGGAGGCAGCAGUGAGGAAUAUUGGUCAAUGGGCGCGAGCCUGAACCAGCCAAGUAGCGUGAAGGAUGACUGCCCUACGGGUUGUAAACUUCUUUUAUAAAGGAAUAAAGUAAGGCACGUUUGCCUUUUUGUAUGUACUUAAUGAAUAAGCAUCGGCUACCUCCGGGCCAGCAGCAGCGGUAAUACGGAGGAUCCGAGCGUUAUCGGGAUUUAUUGGGUUUAAAGGGAGCGUAGAUGGGUUGUUAAGUAAGUUGUGAACGUUUGCGGCUCAACCGUAAAAUUGCAAGUGAUACUGGCAGUCUUGAGUACAGUUGAGGUAGGCGGAAUUCGUGGUGUAGCGGUGAAAUGCUUAGAUAUCACGAAGAACUCCGAUUGCGAAGGCAGCUUACUAAACUGCCACUGACAUUGAUGCUCGAAAGUGUGGGUAUCAAACAGGAUUAGAUACCCCGGUAGUC